GACGUAGGGCGCGAGCGUUGUCCGGAUUUAUUGGGCGUAAAGGGUGCGUAGGCGGCGCGGUAAGUCGGGUGUGAAAUUUCGAGGCUUAACUUCGAAACUGCAUUCGAUACUGCCGUGCUAGAGGACUGGAGAGGAGACUGGAAUUUACGGUGUAGCGGUGAAAUGCGUAGAUAUCGUAAGGAAGACCAGUGGCGAAGGCGGGUCUCUGGACAGUUCCUGACGCUGAGGCACGAAGGCCAGGGGAGCAAACGGG
rnacentral:rRNA from 1 species